GUACUGCUGAAGAGCCCCAAACUGGGCUGACGAAACAGCUGUCCAGUAC
rfam:Trichobilharzia regenti genome assembly, scaffold: TRE_scaffold0000934